AGAAAGUCAUUGAAGCUCAAGAUUUGGCGCAGACAUUGAUUCAAAGUAUUCAGAUGCUGAUGUUGAUGACUAUAUGAGGUAUGCUAUUUACUAGAUAACCAUCUAAACAUUAAAUCCUGCAGCCAUUAGGUUGCAUAUAUUUAUAAUCCCAAAAUUUUCUCAAUCAUGUGGCAGGAUCAAGUAAUUAAUCAUUUAAACUCCAUAUUUCAGUUCUUGAAGUUCUUUUUAGGCAAUUCACCAGACUUGUUGUGAGGCAAAAUAUUUAUGUGGAGCCAUGCUCCAAGUAGUUCGAAAUGUGUGGAAUAGUAAGAUGGAUGAAUAGAACUUGGACAACAUUCCGAAAGAAUACAUUGUAACAAAAACAGCCUUGAGCAGUAUAGAUAAAAUAAGUAACAAAAAUCUUUGCUUUUUUGAGGUUUAAAAAAUGUACUAAGGUUUGAACUCCUCUACAUGACAUUUCUGCUACUUUAGUUCCUCCAAGCAUGUAUGAGUUUUCUAACCUCUAUGGCAUAGAAACAAUUUUCCAUGAAAUGCACGCUUUUGAAAAUUUUGAAGAGUAGUCAAGUUGAUUAAUCUUGCCAUGAUCUUUAGGUUCCACUGUUAGCUGUAGAUUUCACUAUAUAGUCUUUAGGCUAUGGCAAAUUUUGAGUUCAUGUGCUUCAAUUGGGCUCUAGAUACAUAUAUCUUCCUUGAGUUUUGCAUGUGGCAUGUGAGGUGAGGUUCUGUUGAGUUCUUUUGCAUCAAUUAUGGUCUAGAACUUGCCCCAAGUGUGUUUCGAGGCGAAAUUCUAGGUUGCGCUUGGUUUAGAAAAUAUUUUUUGGCUUUCUUUGGACCGCUUGUGCCUUAAAUUGUCUACUCUUUGCGUGAUUACCUUAGUCAUCCCCCUUGAGCCUUUAGCCUUGCCAUUGACAACCACAUUACAAGCCUUUCCCCUUUUGUGUUAACCUCUUUUGAUGCCCCGACCUUCUUGAAGCUACAGUUUAGGCUUUUAGCCUAAGUUUUGGGGAGGAGAUGGGAAAAAUGUAUUGUGGUAGUUGAAUGGAGUUGAUUUGAAGGUAAAAGUGAAAACGAAGUGUGAAUAAGAGUUGAAAAAUAUUGUAAGAAAUAAUACACGGGAAAAAUAUUAUGUUAUUGAUGUGCCCUAACUAUAAUACAAGUACCCCUAUUUAUAACAAUAUACAAUACCUACGAUACUCCUAUUCCAUGUAGGACUAUGCUUAUUUACAUAACACCUAACUAACUAACACUCCCCCUCAAGCCGGUGCAUACAAAUAAUAUGUACCGAGCUUGUUACAUAUAUAACUAAUAUGAGGACCAGUGAGGGACUUGGUGAAAAUAUCUGCAAGUUGAUCAUUCGAUUUCACAAACUUUGUAGCAAUAUCUCCUGAGAGUAUCUUUUCUCUAACGAAGUGACAAUUAAUCUUAAUGUGUUUAGUUCUCUCAUGGAACACCAGAUUUGAUGCAAUAUGAAGGACAACUUGAUUAUCGCACACAAGUUACAUCUGGCUGAUUUCACUAAAUUUCAACUCCUUGAGCAAUUGUUUGAUCCAAACUAGCUCACAUGUUGCCAUAGCCAUUGCUCGAUACUCUGCUUCUGCACUAGACCGAGCAACUUCAUUAUGUUUCUUGCUCUUGCAAGAUACCAAAUCGCCUCCUACUAAAACACAAUAUCUAGACGUAGAACGUCUAUCUGAGGGUGAUCCUGCCCAAUCAACAUCUGAGUAUCCAACGAUCUACUCUUGGCCUCGAUCCUCAAACGAUAACCCUUUUCCUGGAGCCAAUUUUCAACUGUUUGGGAUGCGAGAACAGAGAAGUCAAAUGUUUGUGAUGAGAUCAUUGGGUGACUUGGUGUUGCAGCAAGGCAAAGUAAUCGAGAGAACAAUUCAUCAACUGUAAGGACAGUCGGACUAGCUAAAAUCUGGUCGCGCACUGAAUCAAGGUCAUUAGGAAGUCCAACGAGUGUAAGAACGAGAAACAUCUUUUGUCGUUGCUCUUGUUGCUUUUCAACACUAGUAGAAACUGGCAUCAACUUCUCCAAUUCCUCCAUGACUGCCUAUACUUGUCCCAAGUAAGUCGACUUAUCCAAUUCCUGUUUCUUCAAAUUCGUCAUCCGCGAUAUCACAUCGUAGAAACGAGAUAUGUCAUUAGUGUAUAAAGUACGAGCCUUUUCCCAACUAAAUGACAUGCCUGGAAUGGAUGAAACAAAGACAUCAAUUUGGAAUCAAUAGAUCGCCACAAGAUACUAUGAAGCAUGCUUAAAGACAUUUUUUAUAUGUCACUUGAUUUUAUUAAUGCUGUGGGCGGCCAGCAUCCUUAUAAAAAAAAAUGGACUGCAGUGCUGGAGAAAGUCAUGGAAGCCGAAGAUUUUGCAGAUUCUAGCACCGACACGGAUUCAGAUAAUUCAAAUGCUGAUGUAGAUGACCAUAUGAGGUAUGCUAUUUACUCAAUCACCACCUUAACACUAAAUCUUACAGUCAUUUGGUUGCAUAUUUUUAGGAGUUAAUCCCAUUUUUUUGUCAAUUAUAUUUUCGGGUAAUCAAAUCAUUUAAGAGUUACUUUUUUCAGUUCAUUUUAGUCAAUUCACCAGCUUGAUGUGUGACAAAAUAUCGAUAGUUCGGAACGCGUGGAAGAGUACGUGAGACUGUCCCGGUUGAGGGUGCGGUGCAUUGCAACAUCCUUGUUACCCUAUUGCAAAACCCUAAUGAGGCUUGCAAAUGCUGAAUGAUAAUCGUUGUAGCUUACCAAAAUCUCUUUUGUGUUCCUUUAUGUGUUCCUACCAAGGCAAAACACAGUGUUAGCAUCAGGCUCCAAUGACCUAGAGCCCGCUUCGAUAUCCAAACUAGUAAUGCUCGUAGACAGCUGAAGCUACAGGAAAAGUAUAAAAUAGUAUUAAAAGUGUACACGAGUAAGCUCAUAUAGCCUAGAAAUGAUGUGCUGAUAUAUCCUGUGGUAGAUAUAAUCUACACACACAUUAAAAAAAAAAAGAAAAGGAAAAGGCAAUGUAGAGGCUUUACAUAAGUUGCUCCAGUUGGUACCUCUUGGACAAGCGAGGAGGGAGUCUUCUUCCCAGAUGAAUAAACCGUGUCAAUACCAAGCCUCACUGGUAUGUUUAAACACUGAUACUUUGUCCUAGAUGGCUCGUCGUGGGAUGAAUGCUCAAUCUUAGGUGUGUUACUCGACCAUGUAACUCUUGAUAUCUGAUCCUCGUUCAUCACCCUAGCUCCCUUGAUUCCCUAGCUAGGAUGAAUCUGAUCUAUUGGGCUCAUAUACCAGCCUCAAUGCCAAUAUUUAAGGAUUGUGUGAGUUGUGACUUCUGUUUACUCAACUCCUGUACAUGAAGCGUCAAAAGAUCCAACACAAUUUACGUGGCAUUAUGUGUUUAUAGUCACUUUUACUCUUGUGGCUUUACUUAAAAUCAUCGCGGAGAAAUUAUUUAUGCAUAUAGUAUUUCCAUUGUAUCUAGUUGUGUUAAUGAUGCUCAGUUACAACUUACAUGCAUUAAUAUUUGGCCUCCAAUGUAUGUCUAGAUAAUGGGAUCACUGAUUUACUGAUGGAAUCAGAUUCACUUUUGGUGAUAAAUAUGGUAACAUGGAAAGAGCCAGGUUUCAUGGAGAUGAAAGCAUAAUGUGCAAGCCAUUCAAGAGAUGAUGGAGCUGAUUAAUGCACACUUACAUCAUACUUUUUGAGAGCAGUGGCAGAGCCAGAAUUUUUGUUGAGGUGUGUCAAAAUAUAUAAAAGUAAACAUAUCAGGAAAUUAAGG
rnacentral:lncRNA from 1 species